rnacentral:rRNA from 1 species
AGCGAACGCUGGCGGCAGGCUUAACACAUGCAAGUCGAGCGGGCACUUCGGUGUCAGCGGCAGACGGGUGAGUAACACGUGGGAACGUACCCUUUGGUUCGGAAUAACGCUGGGAAACUAGCGCUAAUACCGGAUACGCCCUUUUGGGGAAAGGCUUGCUGCCGAAGGAUCGGCCCGCGUCUGAUUAGCUAGUUGGUGGGGUAAUGGCCUACCAAGGCGACGAUCAGUAGCUGGUCUGAGAGGAUGAUCAGCCACACUGGGACUGAGACACGGCCCAGACUCCUACGGGAGGCAGCAGUGGGGAAUAUUGGACAAUGGGCGCAAGCAUGAUCCAGCCAUGCCGCGUGAGUGAUGAAGGCCUUAGGGUUGUAAAGCUCUUUUGUCCGGGACGAUAAUGACGGUACCGGAAGAAUAAGCCCCGGCUAACUUCGUG